GACGAACGCUGGCGGCGUGCUUAACACAUGCAAGUCGAACGGAAAGGCCCUGCUUUUGUGGGGUGCUCGAGUGGCGAACGGGUGAGUAACACGUGAGUAACCCGUCCUUGACUUUGGGAUAACUUCAGGAAACUGGGGCUAAUACCGGAUAGGAGCUCCUGCUGCAUGGUGGGGGUUGGAAAGUUUCGGCGGUUGGGGAUGGACUCGCGGCUUAUCAGCUUGUUGGUGGGGUAGUGGCUUACCAAGGCUUUGACGGGUAGCCGGCCUGAGAGGGUGACCGGCCACAUGGGGACUGAGAUACGGCCCAGACUCCUACGGGAGGCAGCAGUGGGGAAUAUUGCACAAUGGGCGGAAGCCUGAUGCAGCAGCGCCGCGUGCGGGAUGACGGCCUUCGGGUUAUAAACCGCUUUCGCCUGUGACGAAGCGUGAGUGACGGUAAUGGGUAAAGAAGCACCGGCUAACUACGUG
rnacentral:rRNA from 1 species